UAAGUUCGAUUGGUCGUCUGGUUUUUGGUGCAUGCUUGAGGAUUGGCGUUAAGCUUGUGAAAGGCAGCUUCCCUCACACGCUGUUGUUUUGUUUUUUUGGGUAGUUGAAGCUUGGUUGCGCGAUUGAAUUUUGAAGGGGCCUGAGAUUUGAUUCUUUCUUUCUUCACUCAUCAAAUUUCAUGUGGGAGUUGGUUGCAAUCACAUUGUGGAGAACCCUAAUGAGAUGACAUUGCUUCUACCACAGGUACAUUUAUAACCUAGCUCUUAAACUUUACAUUGCAUAGGUCCCUUUAUGUGAGGUGGCUAAUUUGUAUUGUCUCUGGUAAUUGUUUUGGUUGAAACCAUUAACCUUUUACAGGAUCUUGAAGCAUUCUAUUGUAUGCCAGUGGUUUAGUGAAACAGAGUAUCUUUUAAAAUCUACAUGAGUUUGGUUUGUCACUGCCAAGUCUGCCAUAAUGUUAAAUUUCUGUUUUUAUUAGUCUUGAAAAGGUUCUAUUCAAGCUAUAUUAGGCAUUGUUAAUCUUGCUACUCGAUAGCUUUAUCUAGUUUCUAUAUGGGUCGUGAAACAAAGAGCAGUUGGGACUUGGCCUGACAUUAGAGAUGCAAUGCACGGCAAGAUAUGGAAGUUCUCAUUACUUUAACUGCU
rnacentral:misc_RNA from 1 species